AAAAACUCAAUUCCUAAAUUUCCGUGUCUAACGUUUGACCGUUCAUCUUAUUUUAAAAAAAUAUAAAAAAAUAAAAAGAUAAGUCAUGCAUAAAGUAUUGUUCAUGUUUUAUCAUCUAACAAUAAUAAAAAUACUAAUCAUAAAAAAAAAUUUAUAUAAGACGGACGGUCAAACGUUGGACAAAAAACCGAAGAAUUCGGUCUUU
rfam:Oryza sativa (indica cultivar-group) chromosome 8, whole genome shotgun sequence.